rnacentral:rRNA from 1 species
UACGAAGGGGGCUAGCGUUGCUCGGAAUUACUGGGCGUAAAGGGCGCGUAGGCGGACAGUUUAGUCAGAGGUGAAAGCCCAGGGCUCAACCUUGGAAUUGCCUUUGAUACUGGCUGUCUUGAGUUCGGGAGAGGUGAGUGGAAUGCCGAGUGUAGAGGUGAAAUUCGUAGAUAUUCGGCGGAACACCAGUGGCGAAGGCGACUCACUGGCCCGAAUACUGACGCUGAGGCGCGAAAGCGUGGGGAGCGAACAGG